rnacentral:rRNA from 1 species
ACGGGUGAGGAACACGUAAGAAUCUACCCAGAAGAGGGGGAUAACCAAGGGAAACUUUGGCUAAUACCGCAUAAUCUCGAGAGAGAAAAGCUGCCCGCAAGGGUGGCGCUUUUGGAGGAGCUUGCGUCCGAUUAGCUAGUUGGUAGGGUAAAGGCCUACCAAGGCGAUGAUCGGUAACUGGUCUGAGAGGACGACCAGUCACACUGGGACUGAGACACGGCCCAGACUCCUACGGGAGGCAGCAGUGGGGAAUAUUGGACAAUGGGGGAAACCCUGAUCCAGCGAUGCCGCGUGAGUGAAGAAGGCCUUCGGGUCGUAAAGCUCUUUAGGUUGGGAAGAAGGUUGUGAGGGUAAUAUCCUUGCAAUUUGACGGUACCGACAGAAUAAGCACCGGCAAACUCUGUGCCAGCAGCCGCGGUAAUACAGAGGGUGCGAGCGUUAAUCGGAUUUACUGGGCGUAAAGGGUGCGUAGGCGGUUCUAUGAGUGUGAUGUGAAAGCCCUGGGCUCAACCUAGGAAGUGCAUCGCAAACGAUAGAACUGGAGUAUGUGAGAGGGUGGCGGAAUUUCCGGU